CCUACGGGUGGCUGCAGUGGGGAAUAUUGGACAAUGGGCGAAAGCCUGAUCCAGCCAUGCCGCGUGUGUGAAGAAGGCCUUCGGGUUGUAAAGCACUUUCAGUGGGGAAGAAAGCCUUGGGGCUAAUACCUUCGAGGAAGGACAUCACCCACAGAAGAAGCACCGGCUAACUCCGUGCCAGCAGCCGCGGUAAUACGGAGGGUGCGAGCGUUAAUCGGAAUUACUGGGCGUAAAGCGCGCGUAGGCGGUCUGAUAAGCCGGUUGUGAACGCCCCGGGCUCAACCUGGGAACGGCAUCCGGAACUGUCAGGCUAGAGUGCAGGAGAGGAAGGUAGAAUUCCCGGUGUAGCGGUGAAAUGCGUAGAGAUCGGGAGGAAUACCAGUGGCGAAGGCGGCCUUCUGGACUGACACUGACGCUGAGGUGCGAAAGCGUGGGUAGCAAACAGGAUUAGAUACCCCUGUAGUC
rnacentral:rRNA from 1 species